rnacentral:rRNA from 1 species
CACGUAGGGGACGAGCGUUGUCCGGAUUCAUUGGGCGUAAAGCGCGCGUAGGCGGCUCGGAAAGUCGGGCGUGAAAUGCCGGGGCUCAACCCCGGGACUGCGUUUGAUACUGGAUGGCUUGAAUCCGGGAGAGGGAUGCAGAAUUCCAGGUGUAGCGGUGAAAUGCGUAGAUAUCUGGAGGAAUACCGGUGGCGAAGGCGGCAUCCUGGACCGGCAUUGACGCUGAGGAGCGAAAGCCAGGGGAGCAAACGGG